CAUCUAUGGAGGCCAAAUCUUUGAAAUCAGCGGCAAAAGGAGCAUAAUGAUAUGGAUAAUACCAGGUCCAAGAUGGACAGCCUUGAUAAUAAUACAAAAGAACCCAGCACAAUCCAUGAACAUAAUGUUUAACAGCUUCACGAAUUUUUUCUGGUUCAUCGGGUGAAAUGUGGAAUUUUUGUUCAUAAUACCGUUCGCGGUAUCCAGGCUCAUACAGGCGGACUG